ACAAAGGAGAUAAUGUAAAUCAGUUGUCUACAUCUCAAGAAAUCAUGCUGUGGAUGUUCUUGUGGGUUUUUUGCUUUUGUUGCUGGCAAAAUGGAUAAUUAGCACAGUGUUAAAACAAAGAGGCCAUCAAGAGUGCUAAUGUUGCUAAAGGUGUGAAAAAAUGGUCACAGGCAAUUGAAGAGGUAGAAAGACUUGUUGAUUGGGAUAAACCAAAUGCAGUUGGCAGGCAGCAUUUCGGAGGCAACAAUAUGUGAACAAUUGAAGAUGCCAAAUACUGAAUUCCUGAAAAACAAACACCCCUGAGUGCUGAAAGUGAUUCAUUUAAGGAUAGUAGGGGGUGGUUCCAUAGAUUUAAGAAGUGUUUGUUUAUAGAAUAAACAAUACGGAAUCGUUGGGGGGGUAGGGGGUCUGGAAAGAAUUAAUUUACAUAAUUUAUAAGGGGGGGAUGAUUCAGUUUUUCAAACAAAUCACAUCUCAAACAGCCUUCCAGAACAAAUUAAGUUUGAGAACCAAAGUUGCACUGUAUUUUGUUUUUUAGAUUCCACAUCUAAGUGAAAUCAUAUGACAUUUGUCUUUCUCUGACUGGCUUAUUUCACUCAGCAAAAUAUCCUCUCCUUCCACGUUGCUGCAAAUUCAAGCCCUACCACUGCUGCUCAUGGGGCACCAGUAACUCACCUUAGCUGGUCUGUUACAGGAAUACAUUUAAUUUUGAGAGAGUCUUGAAGAUGUGAUUGAACUUUCCAGAGCCUUGUGACCCUCAGAUACCUGAUGCCCUGCAGGGCUGAAAGCUCAGACAGCAGCCAGUGACCCCAUCAAGGUUCAGGCAUAUGCUUUGUAAAGACCUGCAUUUCUUUUAUUUUUACAGUUUUGCCAAUUUUAUUAAACCAAUAAAAUUCCUACUAAUAACAAUGAAAUAAAUUUUUGCAAGUAAAAUGUUGAACAAAACCUAUUGUUCUGUACCUAUAAAUUUUCAAAAUGUCAUAAAAAGUGCAGCUAUGAAUUGUUAACAUGUACACACUUCCUUUAUUUCAAAUGUGUUUGUCUUGACCACUAACAGUUCCUUCUGCAUCUGUUCAAAUAACAUUACCCACUCCUCCAUAAAAAAAGGCAUUAAAGCACUAGAAUAUUACACAUACACUGACCCAGAGUUGUAAAAUCAGCAGCAUCAGAAAAAUAAAACCUAGUUAUACAUACAAAAAGCUUUCAUGGGUUCUAUAAUCUCCUUAACUACUGGCUCAUGUGGAGGCCAUAACAGUGGAGAAGGCUCAUAUAGGUAACUACCUCAGACUACAGCUACAGCAGGGUCUGGUUCGCCAGAACAAGUUUAAAGUGGCUGUUUAUCAAGUUUGCUAUUUUUGGAAUUGAAACUAUAAAUAUAAGUGUCAUUUGACAAUGCAAAUUGUGUAAAUCCUAAAUUUCAUCAAUGAUCUAUUUGAUAAAAGCUUAUUCUAAUGGAAAACCCUAUAUAGUAAGAGAGUGAUAUAUAUAUUUAUAGCAGUCUUAAGAUCAUCCGCCUCACAUUAGUGCAAAGUCACAUGCUUCGUAAAAAAACACACCACACAUUACAGUAACAAAGCAAAGGACUACAAAGGCAAAACAUCACAGCUUCUGAUUACAUUGAAUAAAAAGGACCAAGGAACACAAAAGAUAAUUCUGUAUUAAUACUGAUGAAUUAAAGAACUAUAAUAGACAUUUCACAGCAUGCUAUAUAUAUUGCUCAGCACUUAAGGAUAAAAUGAAGUCUAAAUUUGAAAGUCAAGAAGUUGGCAAUCUGAUCUCAUGUGCAAUCCAGCUACAAAGUCUUAAUAUAUACAUUCAUCAUCUAGCUACCCUGCAAAAUCAGGACUUAAAAAUUAAGAUUUCAAGUUCAAAUCCUAUUUCAUAAGCUAAAGGAUACAUCCAGUUCUUCCAUGACCAGAAAAGGUAUUUCCAGGUUGGAAGGAGCUAAUCCAAGUAGCAAGGCCAUGUUCCACGUUGACCUGACAGGGUCCUUUCUGACCUUGCUCAGACUGUGCCUGUGACGUCACUCUUCUAGUAGCACAAAGAUGCAACACUGGUUGUGGUUGCUUUUUCUGUCUGUCCUAUGUUAGGUUGGAAAGAGUAAAUGUGAAGGGAAAGGGGAAGGGAAAAAUUGUAUUUUCUUUCCAGGAAGAUAUGUGAAUGCAAAGGAAAUAUCUGCCUUAGAGUUCCAUAACUUUACUUGAAGCACAAGGGUACCAUUUACCUCUUACAUUUUAUU